CCCAGAGGGAUGGGACAGAGCCAGGGAAAAGGUCACCUCUGACAUCGUCCCCUUCUCUCUGCACAAAGCCAGCAUUUCCCUGCUGAACAGGAGAGCUCCCUCUGACCCUUCCCAUGCUUGUGCUGGGCUCAGUCCUCUUGGAAAACCUUCAGGAAUUGCUGCCACCAACACUCCUUGGAGCAGGGCACGGGCUGGACUCUCCACACAAGGAUUUUCUUGCUGACUGACAGCAAGAGCUGCUGAGACACCUCCCGCAGGAAAGGGGACCCUGAGUCACCUUUUCCAUGGGGAAAUUCCUGCUGAUAUCCACCCUGAGCCUGCCCUGAGUCCCCGGUGGGACACAGGGACAUGUCUGCUCCCAGGAAUGCACCCAGACAGCCUCGUGCCUCUGCAGGUGUGGGUGUUCUCCCAGGAAUGUCUGCAGCAGCGUCCCCUUUGCCAGCUCUCCCCAUCUGGGGCUGCUCAGGGCCAGUCAAGCCCCAAGAUGAAAGCCUUUGGAUCCUGACUCAUCUCAGCACUGGCUGUAAACUCUGGAAUUCCAGUUCCCCAUCCUCUGGAGGAAGCUUUGGGCUGGUUUGGGAGGAACCCCAGGGUUUUGCAUGCUCCUUUGCAUGGCAGAUGAAUGGCUGGGGCUCCUGCAGGGCCAGGUGGAUCCUUCUCCUCCUGAGGACACAGCCACGCCGUGCUCCUGCAGCACUGGUGCCACCUGCGGCCGUUUCACCUGCCAAAAAUCCCCUGGAAAUUCAGGUUUAAUCUGCUGUGAACUCCUCCAAACGAUCUGUCCCUCCAAAAUAAUGCUGCGUUUUGAUGGGUUGGUGACAAGGACAUUUAAUCCUGCGAGUUGAUCCUUCCGUUCAUUUGACUGGUGGCCCUUUCAUGUCAAAACUCUUCGAGCCAGUGAGUGAGAGCUCAAAGGCUGCUGGUAAAUUGUCAGCCCCGCGCCCUCGGAACAGGUCCAACGUGUUGUGCUGCUGUUUUUUCCCCAGGGAAUAAUCACAUCCCUUCUGCCUGCCCUGCGCAUGCACGGGAGGUCGGGAUUGUUAUUUCUGAUGAACUUCAAGGCACCUCUUGCCGCAGAAAUAACAUUUCUGUGGGUUUAUUUAUUUAUUGAUCUGCUCCCUUCCAAAGCGAAGGGAGAAAAAGAGGCAAGGCAAAAAGGCAGAAGAGAGGGAGAUGAAGAACUAG